UAAAGAAGAGAAAAGGAGAGAAAGAGAGAUUUUUGUAUAAAACCAAGAUCAUAUGGAAUAUCCACCAAUUGUUGGAUAUUCCAUAUGAUCUUGAUUUUAUACAAAAAUCUCUCUUUCUCUCCUUUUCUCUUCUUUA